UGCAGUCGAACGAGUUCUGAUUAUUGAAAGGUGCUUGCAUCUUGAUUUAAUUUUGAACGAGUGGCGGACGGGUGAGUAACACGUGGGUAACCUGCCCUUAAGUGGGGGAUAACAUUUGGAAACAGAUGCUAAUACCGCAUAAAUCCAAGAACCGCAUGGUUCUUGGCUGAAAGAUGGCGUAAGCUAUCGCUUUUGGAUGGACCCGCGGCGUAUUAGCUAGUUGGUGAGGUAACGGCUCACCAAGGCAAUGAUACGUAGCCGAACUGAGAGGUUGAUCGGCCACAUUGGGACUGAGACACGGCCCAAACUCCUACGGGAGGCAGCAGUAGGGAAUCUUCCACAAUGGACGCAAGUCUGAUGGAGCAACGCCGCGUGAGUGAAGAAGGCUUUCGGGUCGUAAAACUCUGUUGUUGGAGAAGAAUGGUCGGCAGAGUAACUGUUGUCGGCGUGACGGUAUCCAACCAGAAAGCCACGGCUAACUACGUGCCAGCAGCCGCGGUAAUACGUAGGUGGCAAGCGUUAUCCGGAUUUAUUGGGCGUAAAGCGAGCGCAGGCGGUUUUUUAAGUCUGAUGUGAAAGCCCUCGGCUUAACCGAGGAAGUGCAUCGGAAACUGGRAAACUUGAGUGCAGAAGAGGACAGUGGAACUCCAUGUGUAGCGGUGAAAUGCGUAGAUAUAUGGAAGAACACCAGUGGCGAAGGCGGCUGUCUGGUCUGUAACUGACGCUGAGGCUCGAAAGCAUGGGUAGCGAACAGGAUUAGAUACCCUGGUAGUCCAUGCCGUAAACGAUGAAUGCUAGGUGUUGGAGGGUUUCCGCCCUUCAGUGCCGCAGCUAACGCAUUAAGCAUUCCGCCUGGGGAGUACGACCGCAAGGUUGAAACUCAAAGGAAUUGACGGGGGCCCGCACAAGCGGUGGAGCAUGUGGUUUAAUUCGAAGCAACGCGAAGAACCUUACCAGGUCUUGACAUCUUUUGAUCACCUGAGAGAUCAGGUUUCCCCUUCGGGGGCAAAAUGACAGGUGGUGCAUGGUUGUCGUCAGCUCGUGUCGUGAGAUGUUGGGUUAAGUCCCGCAACGAGCGCAACCCUUAUGACUAGUUGCCAGCAUUUAGUUGGGCACUCUAGUAAGACUGCCGGUGACAAACCGGAGGAAGGUGGGGAUGACGUCAAAUCAUCAUGCCCCUUAUGACCUGGGCUACACACGUGCUACAAUGGAUGGUACAACGAGUUGCGAGACCGCGAGGUCAAGCUAAUCUCUUAAAGCCAUUCUCAGUUCGGACUGUAGGCUGCAACUCGCCUACACGAAGUCGGAAUCGCUAGUAAUCGCGGAUCAGCACGCCGCGGUGAAUACGUUCCCGGGCCUUGUACACACCGCCCGUCACACCAUGAGAGUUUGUAACACCCGAAGCCGGUGGCGUAACCCUAUAGGGAGCGAGCCGU
rnacentral:rRNA from 1 species